CACAGACCUGUCCAUAAUAUAUAAAAUAAAGACCUGUCCCAUACCAUAUAUAACACAAACAUGUCCCAUACCAUAAUGACUACAACACAGACCUGUCCCAUACCAUGUACAACACAUACCUGUCCAAUACCAUGUACAACACAGACCUGUCCCAUACCAUAAUGACAACAAUACAGACCUGCCCAUACCAUAUACAACACAUACCUGUCCCAUACCAUAAUGACUACAAUACAUACCUGUCCCAUACCAUGUACAACACAGACCUGUCCAUAACAUAUAAAAUAAAGACCUGUCCCAUACCAUAUAUAACACAGACCUGUCCCAUACCAUGUACCACACAGACCUGUCCCAUACCACGUACCACACAGACCUGUCCCAUACCAUGUACCACACAGACCUGUCCCAUACCAUAAUGACAACAAUACAGACCUGCCCAUACCAUAUACAACACAGACCUGUCCCAUACCAUAAUGACUACAAUACAGACCUGUCCCAUACCAUGUACAACACAUACAUGUCCCAUACCAUGUACAACACAGACCUGUCCCAUACCAUAAUGAAUACUAUAAAGCCAUGUCCCAUACCAUGUACAACACAGACCUGGCCCAUACCAUGUACAACACAGACCUGUCUCAUACCAUGUACAACAUAGACCUGUCCCAUACCAUAAUGACUACAACACAUACCUGUCCCAUACCACAGACCUGUCCCAUACAAUAUACAACACAGAUCUGUCCCAUACAAUAUACAACACAGAUCUGUCCCAUACAAUAUACAACACAGACCUGCCCCAUACCAUGUACAACACAGACCUAUCCCAUACCAUAUACAACACAGACCUGUCCCAUACCAUAAUGACUACAACACAGACCUGUCCCAUACCACAUACCUGUCCCAUACCAUAUACAACACAGACCUGUGUUAAUAAUAAUGACUACAACACAUACCUGUCCCAUGUAUGGUACUACAAUACUAUUGGUACUACCUGUACUGUCCUAUACUACAAUACUAUUGGUACUGUCUGUGCUGUCUGUACUGUCCUAUACUAUAAUACUAUUGGUACUGUCUGCACUGUCCUAUACUAUUGGUACUAUUGGUACUGUCUGUACUGUCCUAUACUGUAAUACUAUUGGUACUGUCUGCACUGUCCUAUACUAUUGGUACUAUUGGUACUGUCUGUACUGUCCUAUACUGUAAUACUAUUGUUUCUGUCUGUACUUUCCUAUACAAUAAUACUAUUUGUUCUGUCUGUACCUGUCCUAUACUAUAAUUCUAUUGGUUCUGUCUGUACUGUCCUAUACAAUAAUACUAUUGGUACUAUUGGUACUGUCUGUACUGUCCUAUACUAUAAUACUAUUGGUACUAUUGGUACUGUCUGUACUGUCCUAUACAAUAAUACUAUUGGUACUGUCUUUCCCUGUCCUAUACUAUAAUACUAUUGGUUCUGUCCCAGACUUUAAUACUAUUGGUUCUGUCCCAGACUAUAAUACUAUUGGUUCUGUUUGUACUGUCCUAUACUAUAAUGCUAUUGGUACUGUCCUAUACUAUAAAACUAUUGGUUUUGUCCUAUACUAUAAUACUAUUGGUUUUGUCCUAUACUAUAAUACUAUUGGUUAUGUCUGUACUGUCCGAUCCUAUAAUACUAUUGGUUCUGUCUGUACUGUCCGAUCCUAUAAUACUAUUGGUUCUGUCCCUGUCCGAUACUAUAAUACUAUUGGUUCUGUCCCAGACUAUAAUACUAUUGGUUCUGUCCCAGACUAUAAUACUAUUGGUUCUGUCCCAGACUAUAAUACUAUUGGUUCUGUCCGAUCCUAUAAUACUAUUGGUUCUGUCCCUGUCCGAUACUAUAAUACUAUUGGUUCUGUCCCAGACUAUAAUGCUAUUGGUUCUGUCCCAGAUUACUGUAAAACUUUUCCUGGAUUAAUCGGCUUGCAGCUCAAUGGAAAAUCUACCAUUUUAUUCCAGGAAUAGACUGGAGUCUCAACAUUCAACAACAGCUUGUAUCUUAUAAUUUUAAACAUCAGAUCUUUACUUUACAUAUGUUUGGUUAUAGUUUAGAUAAGUUUCUGUUUUGUUUGUUGUCAUGCUGUAAAUCUUCUUCUAUGUUUGACGAUGUGUUGUUUCGCUCUACGCUCUAACCACUAGACUACGCUGAGAGAGUUGUUUCUCUAACCACUAGUCUACACUGAGAGAGUUGUUUCUCUAACCACUAGACUACACUGAGAGAGUUGUUUCUCUAACCACUAGACUACGCUGAGAGAGUUGUUUCUCUAACCACUAGACUACGCUGAGAGAGUUGUUUCUCUAACCACUAGACUACGCUGAGAGAGUUGUUUCUCUAACCACUAGACUACACUGAGAGAGUUGUUUCGCUCUACGCUCUAACCACUAGACUACACUGAGAGAGUUAGAGUUGUUUACGCUCUAACCACUAGACUACACUGAGAGAGUUGUUU
ensembl:lncRNA